rnacentral:rRNA from 1 species
GACGAACGCUGGCGGCGUGCUUAACACAUGCAAGUCGAACGGAAAGGCCCUGCUUUUGUGGGGUGCUCGAGUGGCGAACGGGUGAGUAACACGUGAGUAACCUGCCCUUGACUUUGGGAUAACUUCAGGAAACUGGGGCUAAUACCGGAUAGGAGCUCCUGCUGCAUGGGGGGGGUUGGAAAGUUUCGGCGGUUGGGGAUGGACUCGCGGCUUAUCAGCUUGUUGGUGGGGUAGUGGCUUACCAAGGCUUUGACGGGUAGCCGGCCUGAGAGGGUGACCGGCCACCUUGGGACUGAGGUACGGCGCAGACUCCUACGGGAGGCAGCAGUGGGGAAUAUUGCACAAUGGGGGGAAGCCUGAUGCAGCAACGCCGCGUGCGGGAUGACGGCCUUCGGGUUGUAAACCGCUUUCGCCUGUGACGAAGCGUGAGUGACGGUAAUGGGUAAAGAAGCACCGGCUAACUACGUG